AAUUCUGUCUUCAAUCUCCCCUGUAACAAACCUUUAAACUAUGUGAAUGCAUUGUGGGUCUCAUCAAAUUCAUUCAGAACAAAGAUUUGUACAUUAUCAUAGCAUGGCAAUGUUCUCCGAGUGUACUUUGGAAAUUACUCACACUGUCCACCUCAUACCCAAUUUUCUACUUUGUUUUUUUCUUGUAACAAACUCCAACACUUCCAAGCUGGAAAAAUCUCUACCACUUAACUCAGUUCUCUUGUGUGUGUAUUGAAUUGAAAUAAAUUAACAAGUUCUGACCCUACUAUAUCUUUAGAUCCACUGCUCCAAUCCUAUUGUCUGCCAUAGCCUUUUUCUAAUCAGCUUUUAUCCUCAUCACAUAAUCACAGAAGCUUCCAUCUGGGUUCCAUCCAAACCACUCCUCCCCCUCCUUUUCAGGCUGACCUGUUUGACUUUAUGAGAAGUUCUUGUUAUUCCCCUGCCAAGUGUGUAAGUGAUUUCAUACCAGACACAGAGAAGGUAGAACAGCUGCACAGAAUUUCAGAGGAAGAUUAGUCAGUCAGUGCUAAUGAGUGCUCUGUGUGUGUGUGUGUGUGUGUGUGUGUGUGUGUGUGUGUGUUUUGAACUGACUUCCCAAUGACAGCCUUGAUAGCUAUUGAAUCACCCAUCACCAUUAAAAAAUUAUUCUUAAUUAUAUGAGUGUUUUGUCAACAUGCAUGUUUGUGAACAUGUGCAUGCAUGCAAUGUCUGCAGAGGAUAUAAAAAUGUCCCUUGAAACUGGAGUUACAGACUGUCUUCAGCUACCAUGACCCCAAGUCCUCAGCAAAGCAGCCAAUGCUUUUAACUGCUGAGCGAUCUCUCCAGCCCCACUCCUUGACUUCUUCAUUUGAAACAAGCAUCUACCAUCCCACUGUCAACUGUUUAUUUCUGAAGUUUGUAUAAUCAGCACAAAGUUUGUACAAUUUAGAAACCCAUCAAAUGCCUCGACUUGCACCUUGGACUACAAAUCACAUUAGCACUUUCUCACUCACUUGGUUUGAGAGGCCUUCUCUUGGGAAGAGGGCGGUGUCCCCAUACUUUGGAUUUUUUGUCCCCUCUCAUGUCUUACAGUUUUUAAUUUAACUUUGGCUAAAUUUAUAUAGACUCAGAAGUUGUUGGGGAGGAGAAUGGGUACAGAGUUUUUCUAAAGGUUGUGGUUCCUUUAGUGAAAAGAGCCCUUCUCACACCCUGCUUAAAGUAAAUGGUUUCCUUUGUGAGCAAGGCCACAGUUCCCUGUAAGAAUCUGACCCUAUAACAAAGGCAUCAGAGGCAACCCAGCCUGGAGCCAUGGGAUUGCAUAUUCUUCCCUUCAGUGCUCUUGGCCACUAACACUAACUUUUUUUUUUUUUUUUAACAAAGCACAUAAAUUUACACUUUCCCCUCCCCAUGUAAAACUUAUAGGUCAGUAGAAUGGACCGCAGAUUUUGGGUCACUGACACAGCUGUAGUGAAAAUGGGUUUUACAAAAAAGCAAAGCUAAUGCGGUCUCCUCAGAUUUAUGCUUAAGCAGGCACGUUAUCCCUGCUACUAUGCUAUGCCUUUCUUUUUUUUCUCUUUAAGCCCUGUCAGUGCCCUUUGGAAGAAGGGGGACAUAAAGUAUCUAUUUUCAAGGUGUCCUUUGGCAGUAGCAAAGGUUCAUUUCUAUGAUUUUAUCCGAAUAUGUACUAAACUUUACAACAUCUUGUUUUAAUGUAACAUGCAGAAUGACAAUUCCUUUUGUUUCGAUUUUAAAAAAAAUAAGUUUUGUAAAUUUUAAAGUUCAGGGCAUUUCUCCAUCUGAAUCGCAGAAUUAUUUAGAACCCAUUUUUAUCUAUAUUUAAAAAAUACUCAUUCUUUGCACGAUCACACUGUAAAACCUUGUGCUUAGAAACAAGAGAUGUAAAACAAAUUAAAAUUAAAUAUCGCUAAAGUUUCAAACGAAAGCUGAGCCAGGUCACAGUGCAGGCUUCUAUAGUUAGAUUUCUGAUGAACUUACAUUUACUAGUCCUGUCAGACUUAAGUGUAAAGUUUUAACUGGGCUUCAAUAAAACCACAACAAACAGAAAUUUCAGUUCAUGACUCUUAGAAAUAAGACAAAGGGGAAAACCUAACUAUGAAGCAUGCCUAUGAACGUUCAGGAAAAUACAAGUAUUAUUUUUUUCUUCCUCUGUCAGAAUGAAAGGGGAAAAGUUCCUAGAUUUGCUGAAGUUUUGUAUUUUUAAAUUUUGUUUUGUUUUGUUUUCUCGUGUUUCAUUCUUCUGGGGUUCUCCAAUUUCCACUCCUGUGGUCCUCGGUGUAGGUGUCCUUCUCUCUGCAGAGGCUGUCCUGCGCAUGCACCCUGCUUAGUCCAUAAGUGGAGAAUGCAGGCAAGGGAUUUGGAGGCGAAGGGGUACCAGCCCAGGAAGACUUAACUCACAUAACCCCGAUUCUGCUGUCCAGCGCGGGUAUGGUUUAAUGCAUCAGGCGUGGCCUGACCCAGCCCUGAGGCUGCGAUUACGUCCCAGUGGUCCAGGCUGUGAUCCUGCUCCACCCUCUGCCUCUCCUCUGGUGAACAGAGAACCUGCAAAAGAUCUGCGCGGUGCCUGGCUGCCAGGAAAUCUCCAACACGACUGACAGGAGGGUCGCUGGGGGUGGUGAUGCUGCAUCUUUUCUCAAAGAAGCUGCUUUUCCAGUAUGCCUCCAGAAGUCCACCAGCUUGCUACUACUGUAUGAAUAAUAAAAACAAAACAAAAAAGCCAUGUUUCACGUCGUGACCACCGGAGGGCCGUCUAGGAUCAAUCUUGGAAUGGAGACUCUACGAAUCUGGAAGACUGGUCACUUCCGGACCCCAGCACCAGUAGCUAUCUGCUCUGAGCAUACGGUGUCUCACUGUGGCCGCUGAAACCUCCUUUCUAAGAGAGAAAUCAUACAUGUAGGGAAUGGCGUAAUCUGAUAUUACAGGUCUUUUUAAUUCCAAGGGAAUGUUACCCCCUUCAUAUUAACCUCAUACCUGUUACACUUGAAGGACAGGGAAGAGCCACACACUGAUCUCUUCUCUCAGCACAUUGCCUGUGCCUUUAGUCCAAAAGGUCUUGGAGAAAAGCAGCUGGAAAUUUAAUGGAUGACUGUGCCAAUGCUGUAAACAUCCACCCACUUUAAAGGGUAGUUUUAUUGUUUUAGGACUUCAUGCCUAUUGUUGUUUGAUCAUACUGACCCCAAUUACCUUCUCUUAUUGCCUGCACACUUCAUCUGGAUCCUUUCUGUUUUUCAAGACCUACCCUCUGACUUUCAUGUGUUUUGUGCAUGACCCACUGGACUUAAUUGGGUUUGGGGGCAUGUUCACAGGUGUGAGUCCUUUUCUUGGAGCAUAGACAAUUGAUCAGUAUCUGCACCCCUAAAGAAAAGUGACUCCCAUUUCCCUGGCAGUUUCUAGUGUCAGUAGCUUUUUUGCAGUGGGUAUGGCCUCAUGAGUCCCUACCCUAUCCAAAAUCAAGUGAUGAUGGCCUCACUCCUGUACAAGUUUUGUGAGUUCAUGAGUGUGCCAGCCAUGCUACCUGGGGCCAUAGCACACCUGACAGCCUCCAAAAUCUUACUAAUAGAUGAACAUCUCCUAAGACCAUAAAAUCUGUAGAACUUAGGUUCCUCGGCCUAAGAAACGGCCCCGGUGGAUCUGUGCAUCUCCACUGAUUCACGCAGUAGUCAAUAGUAUUUAUGUUGCAAUGAGGAACUAGAUAUUAAAUCUGCUUGAGUUUCCCCCAUGGGGAAGGAAAUGACUAUGACCAUAAGUCCCCUUUAAGCAUGUAUCUUGUCCUCACAAAUUCCACCUCCUGGGAAGCAUCCUAAUCUAAAAACACUAUAUUGAAAUAGUUUUAAUGUCAAUAAAAUGCAACAUAGCAAAUCCCAGAUCAUAAAAUUAUGUUUCAUUCACACAAUUACUAAAAAUUCUCCAUUGUAUUGCUUUCAGGAUAUUUGUACAUGAUGUUUGUUAAAACUAAUGGAUUUGAGCAUCAGUGGCCAUCCCAUCACUGGAAACCUCUAAGUACAGGAGGAUAUUUAAAUUUUCCAAAUAUGAUACUCAAACAAUUCUGUCCCCAAAUAUUGCAAAUAAAGAAUACUAACCAUGUAGGAAAAACUAUUACUAAGAAAAGAAAAAUCCAGCUCUCUGUUUCUUCUUCGUUUUUUCCUCAUUCUCUGUCCAGUUCUAUUCUUCUGUUUCUCUCUCACAAGCUUUCCCGGGCCUAUAAUAAAAUGGUUAAUAUGGAAAAAGAAAAAAAUCCAGUGUACAUUCAGGGACCUUGUGAACCAUAUGCAGAAAAUCCCAGUUUUAAUUAAAAAAUGUUUUGAAGUUCUCCAUCUGUCUUUCAUGAAGUGGAAGUUGUAUUGUACGUGUACACUGUGGAAUCUAGUUCAGCAAAAAAUCAAGUCAGAUUAUGACAUUUACAGGGAAAUGAUUGAAACUGCACUAAUUAAAAAAGCUAGACUCAGAGUAGGAAAUAUGUUUCUUUCCCUAAGGGAUUCUCCAAACUUUAUAAUGAGUUAAGGUUUUAAAAUUGCAGUUUAAAAUGUGGCCACCAGAGGUCAUCAUAGCCUUAGUAAAGCUAAUGUUAACAUCGGAAAAGUUUAAAAGCUGUUAUUUUACGUAGGAGACACCAGAGGGCAGACGAGGACAGUCUUAGGACCAUAGAAAGACAGAAUAAAAGUUUGCAACUAUGUUUUAAAUGGUUGGGGAGGAGGAAAACACUUUGCUAUUUGUUUGUAGAUGAGGAUCCACUUUCUCAACAUCGUAAUGCAGAUUAACAGGGAACAACCUAGGAGGAUGACUGUUGCGUUCUACAGAACCUGAGUUAAACAGAUCUUCCUGGCUGAGGCAGACACACAUUUAACUGGAUAAUAAUAAUAUGCAGGUAUUUGCAGUGUGCAAGACUUGAACUCCACAAACAGUUAUAUGCAUAUUAUUGCACACCUUUCCAUAAAAGAGAAUUGUUCCUAUGCAGUUACUUUUAAGUAAGAGAAAGGCAUAAUAUUAAAAAAACAACUAAAACAAGAUUUCUGCAAUCCACAUGCAAGUCUUAUGAUUAUUUCAUAUUGUUUGUUGCUCAUUUAGACCAUUUGUAUUCUAAUUAUGUAACUGUAAAUUCUAGGCGCAUAUCAUAAAUGCGGUGUGAAAUAUUUCUCCAAGGCUGAAGAGAAGUAGAUUUUACAGAAAGAAAAUAUUAUCUUACUAAAGACAAAUUAAUUAUUUUACACAGAUCAUGCAUUCUUGUUGCAUAUAAAGACCCAUCAAUAAGCCCAUGUGCAUGUAAAAUUUCUCUAAAUUUCCUAUCAUAUUGCAAUGCUUUCAAUUCUGUUUGAGAAUUUUUGGGUUCUUGAGUGAGAUGUGCAGUUAGUGUCUAGGGUCUCAUCUGUAUCUUGACUUCUGACUAUCAAGCAUCAUUUGUUGAAAUAAGUGUCUCAUUAACACUGGAUUGCUUUUGUCCCUUUGCCAGGAACCAGCUGACAGUUGUGCCCAUCUGCUCCUGAGCUCUCCACUGUGGGCCACAUAUCUUCAUCUUUCAUUUGUAUCUCUUUGCUUGCUCUGGGGGGAAUACAGUCUACUGUAAUUAAUUGUACUUGCCUAAGGCAUAUUAAAAUACUGCUCUUGCUUCA